AAAGGCCAAUCAAACCGGGAGAUAGCUGGUUCUCCCCGAAAUCUAUUUAGGUAGAGCCUUGAGCGGACACCUUCGGGGGUAGAGCACUGUUUCGGCUAGGGGUCCAUCCCGGAUUACCAACCCGAUGCAAACUACGAAUACCGAAGAGUGAUACUCAGGAGACACACGGCGGGUGCUAACGUCCGUCGUGGAGAGGGAAACAACCCAGACCGCCAGCUAAGGUCCCAAAGUCUAUAUUAAGUGGGAAACGAAGUGGGAAGGCUUAGACAGCUAGGAUGUUGGCUUAGAAGCAGCCAUCAUUUAAAGAAAGCGUAAUAGCUCACUAGUCGAGUCGGCCUGCGCGGAAGAUGUAACGGGGCUCAAAUAUAGCACCGAAGCUGCGGCAUCAGUAGCAAUACUGUUGGGUAGGGGAGCGUUCUGUAAGCGGAUGAAGGUGGCUCGAGAGGGCUGCUGGACGUAUCAGAAGUGCGAAUGCUGACAUAAGUAACGAUAAAACGGGUGAAAAACCCGUUCGCCGGAAGACCAAGGGUUCCUGUCCAACGUUAAUCGGGGCAGGGUGAGUCGGCCCCUAAGGCGAGGCUGAAAAGCGUAGUCGAUGGGAAACGGGUUAAUAUUCCCGUACUUGGAUAAACUGCGAUGUGGGGACGGAGCAGGUUAGGUUAUCGCACUGUUGGAUAUGUGCGUUUAAGUUGGUAGGUGAGAAGUUUAGGCAAAUCCGGACUUCUUUAACACCGAGAGAUGAUGACGAGGCUCUACGGAGCUGAAGUAACCGAUACCACACUUCCAGGAAAAGCCACUAAGCUUCAGGUUUAUCUAAACCGUACUGAAAACCGACACAGGUGGUCAGGUAGAGAAUACUCAGGCGCUUGAGAGAACUCGGGUGAAGGAACUAGGCAAAAUAGCACCGUAACUUCGGGAGAAGGUGCGCCGGCGUAGAUUGUAGUCCCUUGCGGGCGAAGGUUGAACCGGUCGAAGAUACCAGCUGGCUGCAACUGUUUAUUAAAAACACAGCACUCUGCAAACACGAAAGUGGACGUAUAGGGUGUGAUGCCUGCCCGGUGCUGGAAGGUUAAUUGAUGGUGUAAUCGAAAGAGAAGCUCCUGAUCGAAGCCCCAGUAAACGGCGGCCGUAACUAUAACGGUCCUAAGGUAGCGAAAUUCCUUGUCGGGUAAGUUCCGACCUGCACGAAUGGCAUAAUGAUGGCCAGGCUGUCUCCACCCGAGACUCAGUGAAAUUGAAAUCGCCGUGAAGAUGCGGUGUACCCGCGGCUAGACGGAAAGACCCCGUGAACCUUUACUAUAGCUUGACACUGAACAUUGAAUUUUGAUGUGUAGGAUAGGUGGGAGACUUUGAAGUAGUCACGCCAGUGAUUAUGGAGUCGACCUUGAAAUACCACCCUUUAACGUUUGAUGUUCUAACGAAGAUUACGAAACGUGGUCUCGGACAGUGUCUGGUGGGUAGUUUGACUGGGGCGGUCUCCUCCCAAAGAGUAACGGAGGAGCACGAAGGUUUGCUAAUGACGGUCGGACAUCGUCAGGUUAGUGCAAUGGUAUAAGCAAGCUUAACUGCGAGACAGACAAGUCGAGCAGGUACGAAAGUAGGUCAUAGUGAUCCGGUGGUUCUGAAUGGAAGGGCCAUCG
rnacentral:rRNA from 1 species